AGGCUAGGUGGCUCAAUCCAUAAGACCAGGUGGAGGUUACAGGGAGCUUCUUGGCGCUUACCUGCAUGGUGCACCAGCUUCUGCCCAUUUCUCUUCUGAGCGAGUGUGGGAACGGGCGAGACAAUUUUGUUACUGGCCUUCGAUGUACAGGGAUAUCAAAGCAUGGUGUAAGCAAUGCAAGGCGUGUCAGAUGCGGCGUAGUCCUGUUCCAGCCCAACGUGCGCCGAUGGGUGGUUCUCAGUCAGUGCAACUAUUUGAAAGAGUGGCUAUGGACAUCUUGGAGCUGCCUACCACUUCGAAAGGUAUCCGUGUCCCUUUGGCCUCAGAGACGCAGACGCUUUUCGCAUUUACCUAUAGGGGACGUCAAUUCACCUGGACACAUCUUCCUCAAGGUUUUGUUGACUCGUCAGCCGAAUUAUGCUAAGCCUUUUCACCUAUAUGUGCACGAACGUAGUGGUAUGGCUGCGGGGAUCCUAGCCCAGGAACACGGUGACAGAUAUCGCCCUGUUGCGUAUCUUUCCAAAUCUUUAGACAAGAUAGCACAAGGG